rnacentral:lncRNA from 1 species
AACAAAAACCAAAAAACAAACAAACAAACAAACACCAGUACAACCCCAAAUAUAGACAAGCAGCUCUCUUUGUACCACUGGAGCUUGCUGUCACAGCUCAAGCAGAGGAAAUAGUAGAUUUGCCUGUGUACGUUCGGGGUUAUGCCAACUCAGUGACACUUGGUGUCUGUAAUACACGCAAAUCCUUAAUGUACACAAAAUCUUCCCUGCCUCCCCUAAUCAUAUGCAUCCUGCAAUCAGGCCAGAACUUGUGGAUUAAAUCUACUGAGGCCCAAAAUAAAUUAAAUCUCCGAAUCACAGUAAGCUUGCAAGCCGCGGCCAUUCAAAUUUAAGUUUGUCAUUAUUUACGUCAAUUUUCCUGGCCUCCCACACAGCCUGCAAGUACCCAAUGUUCCUACAGCAACAGCAGAGCCCGUACUCUGUGUCCUGGUACUGCUGAGAAAGUUAAUUCUUUUAAAGACAACACAAAGUAAAAGAAAUGCCCUUCUUCUGAUGACUUUAGGGAAACACAAUAUACCCUCAGGGAUACGUUGCAUCCUCAGGAGGGAAUUACCGGGGUUCCUAACUCCCGAUGGUUGGGGCAAUAAACAUUACACAAGCAACUGUUUGCUCAGGGAGCAUUUUUUCCCCAGCAAUCCGGCAAUUCCCCAGCACACCUCCCACAGCAGCUGGCCGGGCACCUUCUGCGGCCCAGGCAGGUAUGGCCCAAGCCUCGCAAACCGAUGCUCGGCCCUACGGUGGGCACGAGCUCAGGAUCAAAGCCGUGACGUGGGAGCCUGAAGACAUCCCAAUUGCCCAUCCACUUUCCUCGCCCCUUCUCCUCUUCCCCUCCGCAGGGGCACCACUGGGGCCAGGGGAUCGCACCGCCGCGGCCGCCGGCCUGUCACACCUGGCUUUUCUCCUCCUGCUUGGGGCUCUGGGCCGACGACGAGGAUGGUGGCGGCGGUGGAGGUGGCGGCGCGGCCUGCGGCUCGCUCUCGGCACGCUGGUGCCUGCUGACGAGCGACUUGAGGGGCGCCAUCCACUUCAUCCAGAGGUCCAGGUCGACGUCGCCCCACGGCAGGUUGGGGUCCUUGGCCGCCCGCCGCCGAAAGUCCUCGUCGUAGCUCAUCCACGAGGUGCCCCCGUAGGUGGCGUGCAGCUUGCGGAUGGUGUCCAGGUACUUGAACAUGGCCCCGCAGCGCGCCGGGUGCUUCUCGCACACCACGCUGGCGUACACCAGAAAGGCGGAGACCCACUGGUCCAGCGUGUCCCCCGGCCGCGGGCCGUGCUCGGGGGCCAGCUCUGUGUGGAGCAAGGAAAACAGGUUGUAUGUGUGUUGUGUAAGGAUCCAAGUUUGCACGUGGAGUUUUGCUCACUGGAAACUCAUUGUGACUAACAGUCUCAGCUCUUCAAAAUAAGCAAUGCGCCUUACUGAAAAUGGCAGGAAACAUUUCCAGUGCGUUUGGGAGGUGGGCAUGGCUGUUGUAUCUGCUCCUCGUGCUCCUCACAGCUCUGAAUUUCUCCCUCUGCCGGCUUCCUCACAUCUUCCUGUCCCUAUGUGUUCCACAGAUACAUUUGUAGAGGAGAAAAGUUAAUGCUUGGAGCCACAUAUCUGUAACGCUGUAUUGUAGAUGUGUCUUUCUCAACCACAUUGCUAGCAUAGGCACAGGAGUGUAGAAACAAACUUGGAUCAUUGCUUCAUGCUUCAGACCUUUUUAGUCUCAGGCAUGAGACCUUAUUGAAGGCAUUAAUGAGGAGGGAAAAUGAGGCUUUAAACAAAAACAGCUGCAACCUUAGCUGUGGAGGAUCUAGCAGAGUUUGGAAUUAAGCAAUAGACUGGUUUAUUAAAAUAAGGGGGAAAAAGUUCCUUUCCAGAAAAAAAAAUACUGAGAAGCCCGCUCCCAUAUAGAAACAGUGCACAAAACCUGAACACCUACCUCCCUUUGAAGGUGCAUGGGCUAGCACGCUGCUGCUGGUUAAGAACUGUAAGUAAUACCACGCCAGAAAGAACAGUCUGCUCCCUCUGUUGAUGAAAGUAGAAAAUGCUGCCGCGGAGCGCUUACCUGCACAGGCUCCAGGAUGGCCCAGGGUUGGAGGAGAAAGUGCAGGACGAGCGGGAGAUAACUCGUGUGCUGUGCUCAAGGGCUUUUUUCAAACUAGCCCGUCUUUUUCUAAGGAAUUUUAAGAGUUCCCUGCAAUAAUUGGGGGGGGACUGUGGAGAUGGUGGUUUCUCGGGUCAAAGGAAGGAAGCUUAAGCCUCAAAGAACCAGUAGUCUGCUGGUGAUUUCACCUGACGCAAGGAGAUUUAAGACUUGCACUGGAGCUCUUAGCUGGUCUUUCCCUAGGUGUCUUCCACUCCCCCCAUAAAUUAAGUAUAGGUCUGGAAGCAAAACAGGAUUUGCGUUUGUGUUUUGCUUUUCACCCCCCAAAAAUUAAUGGUUGUGCUCCUCACUGACAACAGAGCAGCAGACGUGAACUCACCCAUGAAGCUAACGGUUAAGUGCAGCUUAAUAAAGUUGAAGCACUAAUUAAGUGAUGGCGUGGG